CUCCUACGGGAGGCAGCAGUAAGGAAUCUUCCACAAUGGGCGCAAGCCUGAUGGAGCAAUGCCGCGUGCAGGAAGACGCUUUUCGGAGUGUAAACUGCUUUUCUGAAGGAAGAUUAUGACGGUACUUCAGGAAUAAGGAUCGGCUAACUACGUGCCAGCAGCCGCGGUAAUACGUAGGAUCCAAGCGUUAUCCGGAAUUACUGGGCGUAAAGCGUGCGCAGACGGUUUGAUAGGUCAGUUGCGAAAUCCCGUGGCUCAACCAUGUGGACUGUAAUUGAAACCAUCUGACUAGAGGUAGGUAGAGGCAAGUGGAAUUUCUGGUGUAGGGGUGACAUCCGUAGAUAUCAGAAGGAACACCAAUGGCGAAGGCAGCUUGCUGGGCCUUACCUGACGUUCAGGCACGAAAGCGUGGGGAGCAAACAGGAUUAGAUACCCUGGUAGUCCACGCCGUAAACGAUGAUCACUAGUGAUAUGGGGCUUCGACCCCCUGUGUCACAAAGCUAACGCGUUAAG
rnacentral:rRNA from 1 species